UACGGAGGAUCCAAGCGUUAUCCGGAAUCAUUGGGUUUAAAGGGUCCGUAGGCGGACAAUUAAGUCAGUGGUGAAAGUCUUCCGCUUAACGGGAGAACUGCCAUUGAUACUGUUGUUCUUGAGUGUUUAUGAAGUGGUUAGAAUAUGUAGUGUAGCGGUGAAAUGCAUAGAUAUUACAUAGAAUACCGAUUGCGAAGGCAGAUCACUAAUAAUGUACUGACGCUGAUGGACGAAAGCGUAGGUAGCGAACAGG
rnacentral:misc_RNA from 1 species